UACAGAGGUCUCAAGCGUUUGUUCGGAUUCAUUGGGCGUAAAGGGUGCGUAGGCGGCGCGGUAAGUCGGGUGUGAAAUCUCGGAGCUCAACUCCGAAAUUGCACUGGAUACUGCUCUGCUUGAGGGUUGGAGAGGAGAUCGGAAUUCACGGUGAGCAGUGAAAUGCGUAGAUAUCGUGAGGAAGACCAGUGGCGAAGGCGGAUCUCUGGACAAAUCCUGACGCUGGAGGCGCGAAAGGCUAGGGGAGCAAACGGG
rnacentral:rRNA from 1 species